UUUCACUACUAGGGGUGCUACAUAGCUGAGAGAGACAAAUAAGUCUUAACCCUUAUAACCUGAUCUAGUUCGAACUAGCGUAGGGAAGAAGUGUUUUUCAAUG
rnacentral:ncRNA from 2 species